rnacentral:rRNA from 1 species
GGUGUGACUGCGUACCUUUUGUAUAAUGGGUCAGCGACUUAUAUUCUGUAGCAAGGUUAACCGUAUAGGGGAGCCGCAGGGAAACCGAGUCUUAACUGGGCGUUAAGUUGCAGGGUAUAGACCCGAAACCCGGUGAUCUAGCCAUGGGCAGGUUGAAGGUUGGGUAACACUAACUGGAGGACCGAACCGACUAAUGUUGAAAAAUUAGCGGAUGACUUGUGGCUGGGGGUGAAAGGCCAAUCAAACCGGGAGAUAGCUGGUUCUCCCCGAAAGCUAUUUAGGUAGCGCCUCGUGAAUUCAUCUUCGGGGGUAGAGCACUGUUUCGGCUAGGGGGUCAUCCCGACUUACCAACCCGAUGCAAACUACGAAUACCGAAGAAUGUUAUCACGGGAGACACACGGCGGGUGCUAACGUCCGUCGUGAAGAGGGAAACAACCCAGACCGCCAGCUAAGGUCCCAAAGUCAUGGUUAAGUGGGAAACGAUGUGGGAAGGCACAGACAGCCAGGAUGUUGGCUUAGAAGCAGCCAUCAUUUAAAGAAAGCGUAAUAGCUCACUGGUCGAGUCGGCCUGCGCGGAAGAUGUAACGGGGCUAAACCAUGCACCGAAGCUGCGGCAGCGACGCUUAUGCGUUGUUGGGUAGGGGAGCGUUCUGUAAGCCUGCGAAGGUGGCCUGUGAGGGCUGCUGGAGGUAUCAGAAGUGCGAAUGCUGACAUAAGUAACGAUAAAGCGGGUGAAAAGCCCGCUCGCCGGAAGACCAAGGGUUCCUGUCCAACGUUAAUCGGGGCAGGGUGAGUCGACCCCUAAGGCGAGGCCGAAAGGCGUAGUCGAUGGGAAACAGGUUAAUAUUCCUGUACUUGGUGUUACUGCGAAGGGGGGACGGAGAAGGCUAUGUUAGCCGGGCGACGGUUGUCCCGGUUUAAGCAUGUAGGCGGAGGUUCCAGGUAAAUCCGGUACCUUUUAACGCUGAGGUGUGAUGACGAGGCACUACGGUGCUGAAGUAACAAAUGCCCUGCUUCCAGGAAAAGCCUCUAAGCAUCAGGUAACAUUAAAUCGUACCCCAAACCGACACAGGUGGUCAGGUAGAGAAUACCAAGGCGCUUGAGAGAACUCGGGUGAAGGAACUAGGCAAAAUGGUGCCGUAACUUCGGGAGAAGGCACGCUGGUGUGUAGGUGAAGUCCCUGCGGAUGGAGCUGAGACCAGUCGAAGAUACCAGCUGGCUGCAACUGUUUAUUAAAAACACAGCACUGUGCAAACACGAAAGUGGACGUAUACGGUGUGACGCCUGCCCGGUGCCGGAAGGUUAAUUGAUGGGGUUAUCCGUAAGGAGAAGCUCUUGAUCGAAGCCCCGGUAAACGGCGGCCGUAACUAUAACGGUCCUAAGGUAGCGAAAUUCCUUGUCGGGUAAGUUCCGACCUGCACGAAUGGCGUAAUGAUGGCCAGGCUGUCUCCACCCGAGACUCAGUGAAAUUGAACUCGCUGUGAAGAUGCAGUGUACCCGCGGCAAGACGGAAAGACCCCGUGAACCUUUACUAUAGCUUGACACUGAACAUUGAGCCUUGAUGUGUAGGAUAGGUGGGAGGCUUUGAAGCGUGGACGCCAGUCUGCGUGGAGCCAACCUUGAAAUACCACCCUUUAAUGUUUGAUGUUCUAACGUUGGCCCCUUAUCGGGGUUGCGGACAGUGUCUGGUGGGUAGUUUGACUGGGGCGGUCUCCUCCCAAAGAGUAACGGAGGAGCACGAAGGUUAGCUAAUCCUGGUCGGACAUCAGGAGGUUAGUGCAAUGGCAUAAGCUAGCUUGACUGCGAGCGUGACGGCGCGAGCAGGUGCGAAAGCAGGUCAUAGUGAUCCGGUGGUUCUGAAUGGAAGGGCCAUCGCUCAACGGAUAAAAGGUACUCCGGGGAUAACAGGCUGAUACCGCCCAAGAGUUCAUAUCGACGGCGGUGUUUGGCACCUCGAUGUCGGCUCAUCACAUCCUGGGGCUGAAGUAGGUCCCAAGGGUAUGGCUGUUCGCCAUUUAAAGUGGUACGCGAGCUGGGUUUAGAACGUCGUGAGACAGUUCGGUCCCUAUCUGCCGUGGGCGCUGGAGAAUUGAGGGGGGCUGCUCCUAGUACGAGAGGACCGGAGUGGACGCAUCACUGGUGUUCGGGUUGUCAUGCCAAUGGCACUGCCCGGUAGCUAAAUGCGGAAGAGAUAAGUGCUGAAAGCAUCUAAGCACGAAACUUGCCCCGAGAUGAGUUCUCCCU